rnacentral:rRNA from 1 species
AGAGUUUGAUCCUGGCUCAGAAUCAACGCUGGCGGCGCGCUUAACACAUGCAAGUCGAACGAGAAAGGGGAGCAAUCCCUGAGUAAAGUGGCAGACGGGUGAGUAACACGUGGGUGAUCCACUCCUUGGUAGGGGAUAACCCUGGGAAACCGGGGCUAAUACCGCAUAAGUCCGAGAGGAGAAAGGCGAAAGUCGCCGAGGAAGGAGCCCGCGGCCGAUUAGCUAGUUGGUAGGGUAAUGGCCUACCAAGGCUUUGAUCGGUAGCCGGCCUGAGAGGGCACACGGCCACACUGGCACUGAGACACGGGCCAGACUCCUACGGGAGGCAGCAGUGGGGAAUCUUGCACAAUGGGGGCAACCCUGAUGCAGCGACGCCGCGUGAGCGAUGAAGCCCUUCGGGGUGUAAAGCUCUUUCGACGGGAACGAUUAUGACGGUACCCGAGAGA